rnacentral:rRNA from 1 species
GAGCGGUAGAGUUCCUUCGGGAACUUGAGAGCGGCGUACGGGUGAGGAACACGUGUGCAACCUGCCUUUAUCUGGGAGAUAGCCCUCCGAAAGGGGGAUUAAUAUUCCAUAAUAUAUCAGUUGGCAUCAAUUGAUAUUGAAAGCUCCGGCGGAUAGAGAUGGGCACGCGCAAGAUUAGAUAGUUGGUGAGGUAACGGCUCACCAAGUCUACGAUCUUUAGGGGGCCUGAGAGGGUGAUCCCCCACACUGGUACUGAGACACGGACCAGACUCCUACGGGAGGCAGCAGUGAGGAAUAUUGGACAAUGGGUGCAAGCCUGAUCCAGCCAUCCCGCGUGAAGGAUUAAGGUCCUAUGGAUUGUAAACUUCUUUUAUACAGGGAUAAACCUACUUACGUGUAAGUAGCUGAAGGUACUGUAUGAAUAAGCACCGGCUAACUCCGUGCCAGCAGCCGCGGUAAUACGGAGGGUGCAAGCGUUAUCCGGAUUUAUUGGGUUAAAGGGUCCGUAGGCGGGCUCGUAAGUCAGUGGUGAAAGCCUGCAGCUUAACUGUAGAACUGCCGUUGAUACUGCGAGUCUUGAGUAAAUUUGAAGUGGCUGGAAUAAGUAGUGUAGCGGUGAAAUGCAUAGAUAUUACUUAGAACACCAAUUGCGAAGGCAGGUCACUAAGAUUUAACUGACGCUGAUGGACGAAAGCGUGGGGAGCGAACAGGAUUAGAUACCCUGGUAGUCCACGCCGUAAACGAUGCUAACUCGUUUUUGGGUUUUCGGACUCAGAGACCAAGCGAAAGUGAUAAGUUAGCCACCUGGGGAGUACGUUCGCAAGAAUGAAACUCAAAGGAAUUGACGGGGGCCCGCACAAGCGGUGGAUUAUGUGGUUUAAUUCGAUGAUACGCGAGGAACCUUACCAAGACUUAAAUGGGAGUGGACAGGCUUAGAAAUAGGCCCUCCUUCGGGCCGCUUCCAAGGUGCUGCAUGGUUGUCGUCAGCUCGUGCCGUGAGGUGUUAGGUUAAGUCCUGCAACGAGCGCAACCCCUGUCACUAGUUGCUACCAUUCAGUUGAGGACUCUAGUGAGACUGCCUACGCAAGUAGAGAGGAAGGUGGGGAUGACGUCAAAUCAUCACGGCCCUUACGUCUUGGGCCACACACGUAAUACAAUGGCCGGUACAGAGGGCAGCUACACAGCGAUGUGAUGCGAAUCUCGAAAGCCGGUCUCAGUUCGGAUUGGAGUCUGCAACUCGACUCUAUGAAGCUGAAUCGCUAGUAUUCGCG